rnacentral:rRNA from 1 species
UACGGAGGAUGCAAGCGUUAUCCGGAAUGAUUGGGCGUAAAGCGUCCGCAGGUGGCUGUGUAAGUCUGCUGUUAAAGAGUCUAGCUCAACUAGAUAAAAGCAGUGGAAACUACACGGCUAGAGUACGUUCGGGGCAGAGGGAAUUCCUGGUGUAGCGGUGAAAUGCGUAGAUAUCUGGAGGAACACCGGUGGCGAAGGCGGCAUCCUGGACCGACACUGACGCUGAGGAGCGAAAGCCAGGGGAGCAAACGGG